GACGAACGCUGGCGGCGUGCCUAAUACAUGCAAGUAGAACGAGUUGCGAACGGGUGAGUAACGCGUGGUAACCUGCCUGGUAGCGGGGGAUAACUAUUGGAAACGAUAGCUACUAUCGCAUACCAUCAGAUGUGCCCAGAUGGGAUUCGCUAGUAGGUGGGGUAACGGCGCACCUAGGCGACGAUCCCUAGCUGGUCUGAGAGGAUGACCAGCCACACUGUAACUGAGACACGGUCCAGACGCCUACGGGAGGCAGCAGUGGGGAAUAUUGCACAAUGGGCGCAAGCCUGAUGCAGCCAUGCCGCGUGUAUGAAGAAGGCCUUCGGGUUGUAAAGUACUUUCAGCGGGGAGGCGUUACCCGCAGAAGAAGCACCGGCUAACUCCGUGCCAGCAGCCGCGGUAAUUC
rnacentral:rRNA from 1 species